CCUCUCACUGUAACUGAGAGGCAAGAUCCAGCCACAAGCUUGGCUACUGCUCAAAACGUGGGCUGGCAGAGAGAGGGAGAGAUUCAUUUGUUAGCAGGAGAGCGCUGGUGGCAUGCCAAUCCGUACGGCUGCCUCCGCUACCCCAAAAAGCAUCGGCUGUCAAAAGAUCACGAACAGUUUUCUUUAAGGUCGCUGUACACAGCAUUGUUUUGCAGCCCUUGUGGAGACAGACGGUGAAACUGUUCAGAAUGUGAAAAAGGGGAAUCCUCUAACAGGACCUUUAGCUUGCACGAAGAUGAGUGCUGGCCAGGCCCUGGAUGCAAAGCCGGACAAGCCAUUGUUGUUUUGGUUUGGUUUUGUUUUGUUUUUCAUUUCCUUGGAAAAGACAUUAUUUGAACAUUUUGCAGCUUCCAUUUAUUUCCCCGGCUCUGCCUUUUUCCCCUUGAUUUUGUCUCUGAUGGCAAAAAGGCCCAACCAGACUGCAGCUUUGUUUGGCACCAAACUCGCCUCCUGAGAUGAUCGCACAAGAAGUCUUUUAUCACUUUGGCGGCCGUGAGCCAGAGCUGCUUGUGGUGGAAGUCGCUGGGACUGUAACCCCGGGCUGUCGUGGGAUGAGAGUCAAGCUCUGCCUGUCAGCAAGGCGAGUUGCAGCAGUCUGAGCCCUUGCCAGGACACGUCAGUACUUCUAAGCGUGCUUCCCCCGGUGCUGUUCUCAUUAAGAAAAAGCUUGAUGGAAGACGGGGGUGGCACAGAAGGAUCACCAAGGGAUCGCAAGACUUGGAAGAGCUGCGUUCUGCACCUCUGAACCAUGUUGACUAAUAUUUGGGCUCCUCCAGCACUCCAAGAGGGACAAAAUCAAAAGAGAAGGGCACGGGGUCCUGUCACAUUUGAUGGUCAAGCACUGUCGCCAUCAUGCACCUGCUCACCCACACACCGUGUUGAUAAUCCCCUUAUGAACAUGACCCAGAAACCAACUUAUGUCUGACCCUUGUGGAGGAGACCGUGGUGAAACUCCCUGCCUGCAUCUGAGCCCCGGACCUAGAAAGUCUUCAGUGCAAGCUCAGGGCCUUCCCUGGGGCACCUUACAUUCAAAAAACUGCAGAGUGGAAUUGGACAUGUUUGGAAGUGAGACAAGGUGGAGAUAGCAAGGAGGCAUGUGACUUGCAGAAAAGCACAGAAAAGUCAUCAUCCCAUUCUGCAAGGAUGUGUGUGCGAUGAUAGGAGACUGCCAUGCAAUGCUGAGCAAUAUCAGAUGCCACCACCUAACCAGUCAGCUCAUUCCUGAGGCUGCCAAGUUUCAGCCCAAGACCUUUCGAGGGCGGACAACAGCAGGAGUAGUGCCCGUGCAUGGAGUUGUCCGUGGCUGAGUGUGGAACCUGCUGAGCUAGACAAGCGCUUCCAACAGGAGACACCAUGAAAAGAG